CUUGGUUUUAUCCUACGGUUACGGUCAAUCCUUGGAUAGCUCAAAAGAGUUUGAUAAACUCAACCCUAGUUGGAUGGUCCUGGGCCCCAAGUUUUUUUGUACAUUCUACAGAAGGUCUUCCUCACAUUAUUCCUACAAAAGAAAGGAAGACACGAGUUAGUGGUCUAAUUUUGGAAAAGAUGACUCAUUUUCCUAGAUAUCCUAAGGAUCUUUCUACCUACAGCCUCAGUUGUAAGGGAUUUGGCCCGCGUAACUGCUCUGAUACUAUCUGUGACAUCCCAGAUACUAAUUAAGGCAUGAGAGUGUCAGAUACAUAAAUUUUAUGCAGCAGAGCAAAUUAAUACAAAUCCCCUACAAAAUAUAUGAGUUCUAAUAUACAUAUAACUGAGGUCAGAAGUGACUACAAAAUAAAAAAAGGGCCACUUCUAUCAUUAUCCUAUUAGACUCAUCAAAGUGCAGAAACAAUCAUGCACUCAAUGUUUGUGGAU
rnacentral:lncRNA from 1 species